rnacentral:lncRNA from 1 species
CUUUCAUGCUCUACCCUCUUCACUCUCUCGCCUGAAGGGUUGCAGGGGGCAUGGCCCUCUGCUCUCUCAUCUCCUCUUGGUGUUUUUGGUUUUUUUAAGCGAUUUCCUUUUAAUUAUCUUCCUUUUCCUUUUUCUUUUUUUAAAGAGUAAAAGAGAAAGCUAAAAACCAAACACACCAACGUCCCCUCACUUCCUGUUCCCCAGCGGGCCUCUGCUCCGCCCACUUCCUGUCAUUUUCCCCCUUCUGCUCCGCCCACUUCCUGUCAUCUUCUUCCCCUCUGCUCUUUCACCCUUUCCCCCCACCCCCAAGUCCAUCCAAAGUUCCCACCUCCCCUAACUUCCCAAGAACACUUGGAACAAACUCUGAGCCACGGAGACUUGGAGCGGAGCGAGACCCCCUCCCAUUUACUGGGUUCCUUCCUGGAGGAACAAAUGGACAAGGACUGACUCAGCGUCAGGCUGGACAAUGGACAAGGGAGACCCUGGCCUUGGAGACGCCCCACUGUCUGUCCAGCCUUCGAAGAGACAGAACUCUGCUGCUGGCCUGUGGUUUUUCUUUCGAACCAGGGUGGGCCUGGAAGCAGGCCUAGCUGGAGGGGAUUCCCAGAGAAGAGGCCAAGGCUGGGUGUGAGGAGGGAAGGGGGUGGGGGGGACACUAGGUGCCAGGGGAGAAGCUGGCUCACUGCUGCUCAGUGUCCGGCUGGUGCUAGCAACAAAUAGAAGGAGGUCCCCAAGACACCUGUUAUGGAGGGUGCUUCUGGGGACAGCCUGCCCCUGGGGUUCUGCCUUGGGAGAGGGCAACCCUGAGAGGGGCAACUGGUACUUUUAGUUCCCUAAUUUAGCACUUUAAAUGCCAUUAACUUAUUUUGUGGGGGUGGGGUGGGGAAGAUGGAAGGGCCUAGAACUAUGUUUGGAGGGUGGGAAGGGUCUGCUUUGAGGGAUACAGGGAGAAGGGUUGGGUGGGUGCAGUAAAGUCUCUGACCCCUAGGGGGAGCAACUUGACCUUCAGCCAGCCUCUAUGAUUCGAGGGUUUUCAGGGAAGGGGUGAGAUGUGACUUGCCUGUAGGGAUCUGGUGACCACUCGUCAGGUGUUUGAGGGUCCCCAAGGCAGAAGAGCCAGCUAGUACUCCAGUCUGGAUACCUUGCAGGGGUCCUGCACAGGGCAGACUGACUUUUGCGUGGGUCCAGGAGUCAAAGGGAGAGGCUGACUUGGUUCUGGCCUGGCCCCCAGCAAGUACAGAGGGGCCAGAGCGAAAAGGAUUACGGAGAGGGCUGGAAGGGUGGAGGGGGUCCCCUUUGGAGCACAAAGCAGAGUAAGCACAGAGAUGUGGUCUUGGGACUAGUCCCACAGUAAGCACAGAGAGGAACCAUUGAAGGGACAGAACCCCAAGACCCUGGAGCCCAGCAGGGGAGAGCCAGUGGCAGCUGUUGACGGUUUGGGGAGGGAGGGAAAACUGGGUUGUGUUUCUUUUCUUUGAUUUCGUUCGUUUUUAUUUCUUUCUCUUUGUUUUAUUGGUUUGCUCUUGUUUUCUAGCUUUGAAUCAUUUUUGUACUAAGGCAAGCAAGCCUUUUUGAAAAAUAACAAAAGAAGAAGAAAAAAAAAUCCCUCCCAGAAAAAAACAAAACGAAAAAAAAAAAAAAAACAAAAAACAAAAUAAAAAAAACCAAAAAAAGCCCUAAAAAAUAGAAAAAAAAGGACCUCACAAUGAUGCAAUUACUUUUAAUUGCAAGUAACUCUUUACAUUUAAGUGAAGUGUCUUAACAUUUUAUAUUGUUUUAAAAAUAUAUUUACAUAUUAUAUAUAUAUAAUAUACGUAAUAUAAAUAUAUAUAAAUAUUUAAAAAAGAAAAAAAAAAAAAAGAAAACCACAGCACACUCUCCCUGGCCGCUGUCUGGCAAGGGAGGGGCUGGGGACAGGCGUAUGGCCUGGUGUCCAUAGUCCCCGUGAAGCAGUUUGGUUUGAUUUGGCUGUACAGAGACCCCUGGCUUGGGAGGGGAGGGGGA